rnacentral:rRNA from 1 species
CUCCGGUUGAUCCCGCCGGACCUGACUGCUAUCGGAUUGGUACUAAGCCAUGCGAGUCAUUGUAGCAAUACAAGGCGGACGGCUCAGUAACACGUAGUCAACCUAACUCGUGGACGUGGAUAACCUCGGGAAACUGAGAAUAAACCACGAUAGACCAUAGUGCCUGGAAUGGCUUAUGGUCCAAACAGUUUACUGCCAUGGGAUGGGACUGCGGCCUAUCAGCUUGUUGGUGAGGUAAUGGCCCACCAAGGCGAUUACAGGUACGGGCUCUGAGAGGAGAAGCCCGGAGAUGGGUACUGAGACACGGACCCAGGCCCUAUGGGGCGCAGCAGGCGAGAAACCUUAGCAAUGUGCGAAAGCACGACUGGGUCAGUCCGAGUGAUUCCUGAUAAAGGAGUCUUUUGCUUGUCCUAAAAGCACAGGUGAAUAAGGGGUGGGCAAGUCUGGUGUCAGCCGCCGCGGUAAUACCAGCACCUCGAGUGGUCAGGACGUUUAUUGGGCCUAAAGCAUCCGUAGCCGGCUUUGCAAGUCUUCGGUUAAAUCCACCUGCUCAACAGAUGGGCUACUGGAGAUACUACAAAGCUAGGGAGUGGGAGAGGCAGACGGUAUUCAGUGGGUAGGGGUAAAAUCCUCUGAUCCAUUGAGGACCACCAGUGGCGAAGGCGGUCUGCCAGAACACGUUCGACGGUGAGGGAUGAAAGCUGGGGGAGCAAACCGGAUUAGAUACCCGGGUAGUCCCAGCUGUAAACGAUGCAAACUCGGUGAUGCAUUGGCUUAUGGCCAAUGCAGUGCCGCAGGGAAGCCGUUAAGUUUGCCGCCUGGGAAGUACGGACGCAAGUCUGAAACUUAAAGGAAUUUGGCGGGGGAGCA